CGGGGGCUCUGCCCAGCAGGAGGCGCUCGCGUCUUCCUUUGUUGAAAUUGAUCUCUGCGCUUGAACAGUUAGAUCUGUGACUUGCCACUCAGAGCCUACAUAGCGGACGCCAGGAAUCAUGUUUACUGUCCUGUCUCCCUUUUUGACAGGCACACAUUUUAUUUUUUAAAUACAUGAAGCGCGCCGUGCUUUGUAAGCGCUGACUGAAUGUGCCUAUUUUCACACCCUCUCCUGACCCUGGGCUGGAACGUGGGCGAGUGCAGGAUGGUGGCCAGGGGCUUGGCUCUUGGUCAGUAUGUGCCUCAUCUAUCUCGUCUGUAAAAUGGACAGACGAGGUAACACGUGUGCCUACGUCAGAGCAUUGUUGGAAGGAUUAGAGGAGUCAAGAUAUGGAAGGCCCACAGAAUGGUUGGGGAGAAAAGCCAGCUUCUGGAGGCAGGGGAAAGGGUGGGGAGUGGCUGGGGAAGCAGGGCCUGUACCCUGGGUUUCUGCAUUGGGGUUACUCCUUUGCUGCUGGGAGUGAUAGCAGGGUGAUGAGAGCCACCCUGGGCCUGCGCUCCUCCUGGUCAUGCUGUUGUCCUGGGUCCCAGGGUGCCUGGGAAAGGGCACACAGCUUUACUGAUGGGUGGCCAGUGGGGAGUGCCCCCAUCGGGCAUUCCACCAGUCGGCCCCGAUGGUCCUGGCCUCCUCAUGUUUAUCUGGCCCAGGGACACCAAGGCUCAGAGAGGUAAACUUGCCCGAGGUCACACAGCUAGGAGGGGGAGCUGAGUCAUCACCCAGGUUUGUCUGCCCCAGGGCUGGAGCUCUGUUUUCAGGCCACCUGACCAGCUGAGGAGAUCGUCAGAAAGGCUGGGACACCAACGGAUGACGCACAAAUGGAGGAAUUUUCAGGCACGGUCAAAGCUAAUGGGAGGGAAAAUACUGAAGUGUAAUAUUCCAGAGUUCUCUCUUGUCUGCUCUGACUCCUGCCAGCUGCCCUGCACCUAGAGGGACAGGAGGCUCUUCUCCGGGGCAUUGCAUGGCCGGGAGCCAAAUGAGCUGGCACCAGAACCUGGUGAGUUGCCUGGCUUUUCAGACCUCAGCCUCCUCACCUGUGAAGUGGGUUGAACAGCUCUUCUCUGCAGAGGAGCUGUUGAGGGCGGUAUGGAACACUGCCAGGCACACAGUUGGCCCUUGACAAAACCAUUGCUGUGUCCCCAGCCUGUUUCUCCCCAAGUCCCAUUGAUGGUUCUCUCUAUCCCUGUUUCCUCAGAAGGUCAGGUUUUCUAAGCCCGAAGGCUUGGAGCCAGGCAGGAGCUGUCUCCCUCUCCAGUGCUGCCGACUCAACCCUUUUCCCUUAGAAGCAGGGAGGGAGGCUCCCCUUGGCUCCCUCCCUCUGCAGCCCUGGCUCUGCGCCCUGGGAAUGCUGCCUGGGGCAGGGCCACGUAGAGAGCAGGGCCAGUGCAGGCCUUUGGGUGUUCCCAGUGGCCAAAGUCCUUUAGUCUGCUUUCCUUUGGGCCCCCUUGCACCCCUGAAUGGAUGACCUGGGGGAUUCCAAGUCGGUUUGGGAGGGGUGACAGCACAAGGCUGGAGGUUGGGAGAGUCUGGCUGUCAUCCCAGCUUGGAUUGUAGUCUGCCAUGUGACCUUUGGGCCAAAGAUAAAUCCUCCCUGGGCCACAGUGUCCCUGCUGGUCAGAUGAAAGAAUCAGAUGAGAUCAUUUCUGAGGAUCUUUCCAGGCUUCAUAUUCUUCUGUUUGAUUAUCCCCCCAAAUAAAUUGGAAAUUGGAGGCCCAAGGAUGAGCCCUGGUUGAGGACGCAGAGCCCAGGGGCCGUCCCAUCCUCCACACUUGGCCCAGCUGUGAGUGGGGGAAUGGGAUUUAGCACCUGAAGCCCCAGAUUUAAAUAUAUCCCCACUCCCCGCCGGGGUCCCCGCACUCCUGCACCUCCCUCCUCCCAGGACGGCCCUGACCUGCAGGCAUUGUUCCCCGCCCAUGCCCAAGCCCCGAGGGAAUUCCAUCGGGUUGGAGAGUCUUCCCUUCUGUAGGGGGCUUUGCUCCUCUCUACCAGUUAUGUGACCUUGGGCAAGUCACUUCAGCUGCCUGACCCCAGCUCCCUAGGACUAGUUGAAGUAAUGGAUAUAAACACCCUUUGGGGACCAAAAGCCCCUAGAGAGAUGAGACCUGGCCCAGGCAGUAAGUCUUCAACAAAUGUAGAAUAGGAGGAUGCUGUAAACAAGCCAGCCAAAACCCACCAAAUCCCUUGGUGGAGGAUAAGGGACAUUUGAGACAGUCUUUAUACAGGAGUCUCGGGCCCCAGGAAGCCAGGGCAGAGAGUCUUUGCCAAACUUCCCCCUGCCUAACAAGAAGGAAACUGAGGCAGGACCCUGCCAGACCCAGAGGCAAACAGGCUGCCCUCCUGUGAACUUGUUGGGGGUCAUUUCCACAAGGGAAUAGUUCUAGAAGACCAGGGUGAGUCAGUAACAAUGGCAGAAUUCCAGUCAGAGGAAGAAGACUUUGGUGUAGCUGGGGCUGGAGCAUAGAGGAGCGACUUGGCUGCCGCCCUGGCCCUGUGUCAGAGGUGUUAGAACCAGAGCCACUCCAUCUUGAGUAGGAGCUGGGUAAAAUAGGGCUGAGACCUGCUGGGCUGCAUUCCCAGGAGGUUAGGCAUUUUUAGUCACAGGAUGAGAUGGGAGUCGGCAGGACUGGUAUCAUAAGAUACAGGUCAUAAAUACCCUGCUGAUAAACAGGAUGCGCUAAACAAGCCGGCCAAAACACACCAAAUCCAAGAUGGUGAUGAAAGUGAUCUCUGGUCAUCCUCACUGCUCAUUAUACACUAAUUAUAAUGCAUUAGCAUGCUAAAAGACACUCCCACCAGCACCAUGACAAUUUACAAAUGCCAUGGCAAUGUCCAGAAAUUACCUUAUACGGUCUAAAAGCGGGAGGAACUCUCAGUUCUGGGGAAAUCUCCCCUUUCUUGGAAAACUGAUUAAUAAUCCACCCUUUGUUUAGCAUAUAAUCAAGAAAUAACCAUAAAAACAGCCAACCAGCAGCGCUCAGGGGUGGUCUGUCUAUGGAGUAGCCAUUCUUUUGUUUCUUUACUUCUCUGUAAACUUGCUUUGACUUCACUCUGUGGACUCACCUCAAAUUCUUUCUUGUGCGAGUCCAGGAACCCUCUCUUUGGGUCUGGAUUGGGACCCCUUUCCAGUACCAUUUUUUCUAGUGAACCACGAAGGGACGAUACCAGAAAACACCCUCAACCCAAAGGAAAUAGACUACAGCCCCAAUUGGCUGACUUUGGCUAUAGAAAAAAGAAAGGAACGAAAAGAGACAGUUUUUUUUGGAAAGCUAAGUCUUCCCUUUAUCGAGUCAAGAAACCCCCCCUUCUUGAGCUAUUUACAGCUUUUAACAAUUGAGUAAAGUACGCUCCGUCAUCUCUUGACUGCUUCUCGUCAGAAACAAGAGGGAUGGAUAACAUAAAAAUCUGGAUCAGUAUCUAAUUCUGAGCAUGUAUUGGAAUCGUCUAGCAACUCCGUAUCAGCUCAUCUAGCAAUUCCUGUGACUAA
rnacentral:lncRNA from 1 species